AAAAAAGAAAAUAGGAAAAACAGGUAAUGUAGAAAGCGAAGAAGAAUACGAUAGAAGAUGGGACAGAGGAAUAGGGAUUCAGAAAAUAAGACAAUCAGAUAACGAGAGCGUACAAAGCGAAGAAGAAAACUUUGAAAUAUGGGGGGGUGGAAAUGGUGGAACAGGUAACAAAUAUAUACAAAAUAGAAUUCAAAUUUCAAAUCUUGUUUGUUACAACACAACAAGGGUACAAAGCUACGCAGAUAAGGUGACUUUACAAAACGAAGAAGAAGACGAGGAAGGAAGGAGAAAAGAAAUGGGAAAACAGGAAAGGGAAGGAAGGAAAUUAUAUAAUGAAACAGCACAAAACGAAGUUUACGACAAGGAUGGAAGGAGCAAAGGCAUGGGAAAACAGAAAAAAGAAGGAAGGGUUUUCAGAUAAUGAAACAGUACAAAAGAAGACGAAGAAGAAGACGAGGAAGGAUGGGACAAAGAAAUGAAAAAACGGAAAAAGGAAAGAAGGCAUCCGUUGAUUGAGGCUGCCGAGGCCAGCAAGAUGGCUGCUGCUGAGGCUGAAUCGUAUCAAAUCACGGUCAAAGCCAAUCGAUCAUUCGCGAACAGAAACGGGGAGGUUACGCGUUCAAAAGUGGCAAUUGAAAAUAGAGAUCCUAAAUUGGCACAAUUGCCUCAUGUAAAAAUAAACCGUCUGCCGUCAUCUAUCGCUCACCAGGAAAAAAGAACAGAAACAGGAAGAGGAGCAGGAAGAGGAACAAGAAGAGGAACAGGAAGAGGAUCUGGAACAGGUUCAGGAAUAGGUUCAGGAACAGGAACACGUACAGGAAGAGGAACAGGAAAAAAAAAGGAAACGGGAACGGGACAAGUAGGAAAACCAUGAAAAGAAGAAAAACGUUUGUUAAAGCAGUAAAAUUAACAUUGCGCGUACUCUUUGUGUGUGUUUAAACAAUAACUGGCAUUAACCUAGUCCUUAUUUUGAUAUUAAUCCGGCCAGGCAAAAGGAAUCCAACGAAUUCAGAAGCAGAAGAUUUUUUAAACUUUUGAUUUUAAAAAAUAAAAUAAUACGUCUUCUUCGGCAGUAUUCUGGGCUGACCGACGGACGAAUUAUUUUUAAUUCUGGACUUAUCGACAAAUAUAUUUAUUCUUAAGAGA